ACGCCAUAAGAAACUUUCAUGCUAGAGAUCAUCAGAGGGAGGUAGAAUUCCAGGUGUAGUGGUGAAAUGCGUAGAUAUCUGGAGGAAUACCAAUGGCGAAAGCAGCCUCCUGGGGUGAAUCUGACAUUGAGGGACGAAAGCGUGGGUAGCAAACCGGAUUAGAUACCCGGGUAGUCCAUGCCGUAAACGAUGAAUACUGGGUCUUCGGGGAAUCGACCCCCUGUGGACCGAAGCUAACGCGUUAAGUAUUCCGCCUGGGGAGUACGGUCGCAAGACUAAAACUCAAAGGAAUUGACGGGGGCCCGCACAAGCAGCGGAGCGUGUGGUUUAAUUCGAUGGUAAACGAAGAACCUUACCUAGGUUUGACAUAUAAGUAGUACUGACCCGAAAGGUGAUGGACCCGCAAGGGAGCUUAUACAGGUGCUGCAUGGUUGUCGUCAGCUCGUGCCGUGAGGUGUUGGGUUAAGUCCCGCAACGAGCGCAACCCUCGUGGAUAGUUGUUUUCUUUAUCCAGACUGCUUUUACAAGAGGAAGGUGGGGAUGACGUCAAAUCAUCAUGGCUCUUACACCUAGGGCUACACACACGCUACAAUGGACAGUACAGACGGUUGCUAAGUCGCAAGAUGGAGCCAAUCCGAUAAAGCUGUCCCCAAUUGGGAUUGUAGGCUGAAACUCGCCUGCAUGAACCUGGAGUUGCUAGUAACCGCAGAUCAGAAUGCUGCGGUGAAUACGUUCCCGGGCCUUGUACACACCGCCCGUCACGUCAUGGAAGUUUGAAACACUUGAAGUCGCUGGGCUUACCUUUUAGGAGGCAGGCGCCGAGAGUGGGGCAAAUGACUGGGACGAAGUCGUAACAAGGUAGCUGUACCGGAAGGUGCGGCUG
rnacentral:rRNA from 1 species